ACGAACGCUGGCGGCGUGCUUAACACCUGCAAGUCGAACGGAAAGGCCCUGCUUUUGUGGGGUGCUCGAGUGGCGAACGGGUGAGUAACACGUGAGUAACCUGCCCUUGACUUUGGGAUAACUUCAGGAAACUGGGGCUAAUACCGGAUAGGAGCUCCUGCUGCAUGGUGGGGGUUGGAAAGUUUCGGCGGUUGGGGAUGGACUCGCGGCUUAUCAGCUUGUUGGUGGGGUAGUGGCUUACCAAGGCUUUGACGGGUAGCCGGCCUGAGAGGGUGACCGGCCACAUUGGGACUGAGAUACGGCCCAGACUCCUACGGGAGGCAGCAGUGGGGAAUAUUGCACAAUGGGCGGAAGCCUGAUGCAGCAACGCCGCGUGCGGGAUGACGGCCUUCGGGUUGUAAACCGCUUUCGCCUGUGACGAAGCGUGAGGGACGGUAAUGGGUAAAGAAGCACCGGCGAACUACGU
rnacentral:rRNA from 1 species